GAUGAACGCUGGCGGCGUGCCUAAUACAUGCAAGUCGAGCGAACAGACGAGGAUCUUGCUCCUCUGACGUUAGCGGCGGACGGGUGAGUAACACGUGGAUAACCUACCUAUAAGACUGGGAUAACUUCGGGAAACCGGAGCUAAUACCGGAUAAUAUAUUGCACCGCAUGGUUCAAUAGUGAAAGACGGUUUUGCUGUCACUUAUAGAUGUAUCCGCGCCGCAUUAGCUAGUUGGUACGGUAACGGCUUACCAAGGCGACGAUGCGUAGCCGACCUGAGAGGGUGAUCGGCCACACUGGAACUGAGACACGGUCCAGACUCCUACGGGAGGCAGCAGUAGGGAAUCUUCCGCAAUGGGCGAAAGCCUGACGGAGCAACGCCGCGUGAGUGAUGAAGGUCUUCGGAUCGUAAAACUCUGUUAUUAGGGAAGAACAAAUGUGUAAGUAACUAUGCACGUCUUGACGGUACCUAAUCAGAAAGCCACGGCUAACUACGUG
rnacentral:rRNA from 1 species